rnacentral:rRNA from 1 species
CGUGUCGGAGCUAACGCGUUAAGCAUCCCGCCUGGGGAGUACGGCCGCAAGGCUAAAACUCAAAGAAAUUGACGGGGGCCCGCACAAGCGGCGGAGCAUGCGGAUUAAUUCGAUGCAACGCGAAGAACCUUACCUGGGCUUGACAUGUUCCCGACGAUCCCAGAGAUGGGGUUUCCCUUCGGGGCGGGUUCACAGGUGGUGCAUGGUCGUCGUCAGCUCGUGUCGUGAGAUGUUGGGUUAAGUCCCGCAACGAGCGCAACCCUCGCCCCGUGUUGCCAGCGGAUUAUGCCGGGAACUCACGGGGGACCGCCGGGGUUAACUCGGAGGAAGGUGGGGAUGACGUCAGAUCAUCAUGCCCCUUACGUCCAGGGCUUCACGCAUGCUACAAUGGCCGGUACAACGGGAUGCGACAGUGCGAGCUGGAGCGGAUCCCUGAAAACCGGUCUCAGUUCGGAUCGCAGUCUGCAACUCGACUGCGUGAAGGCGGAGUCGCUAGUAAUCGCGAAUCAGCAACGUCGCGGUGAAUGCGUUCCCGGGCCUUGUACACACCGCCCGUCAAGUCAUGAAAGUGGGCAGCACCCGAAGCCGGUGGCCUAACCCCUUGCGGGAGGGAGCCGUCUAAGGUGAGGCUCGUGAUUGGGACUAAGUCGUAACAAGGUAGCCGUACCGGAAGGUGCGGCUG